AGGGUUCGAUUCUGGCUCAGGAUGAACGCUGGCGGCGUGCCUAAUACAUGCAAGUCGAACGAGGGUGCUUGCACCCUAGUGGCGAACGGGUGAGUAACACGUAGGUAACCUGCCCUUAAGCUUGGGAUACCCAGAGGAAACUUUGGCUAAUACCGGAUAACAACAGAUGAGGCAUCUCAACUGCUUGAAAGGCCCUGCAAGGGGUCACUUAAGGAUGGACCUGCGGCGCAUUAGCUAGUUGGUGAGAUAACAGCCCACCAAGGCGAGGAUGCGUAGCCGAACUGAGAGGUUGAUCGGCCACAUUGGAACUGAGACACGGUCCAAACUCCUACGGGAGGCAGCAGUAAGGAGUUUUCGGCAAUGGGGGAAACCCUGACCGAGCAACGCCGCGUGAGUGAUGAACCGGCCCUAUGGGUUGUAAAGCUCUUUUAUUAGAGACGAAUGGUGGGCUUAGGAAAUGAAGUCCACUUGACUGUAUCUUUUGAAUAAGCCACGGCUAACUACGUGCCAGCAGCGGC
rnacentral:rRNA from 1 species